ensembl:miRNA Mir3967 microRNA 3967
ACUGGCUGCACCUGACUCAGGCAGCAAGAAUUCUAUUGAGCUUGUCUAACUGAUGUUGGAACACAAAA